GGGUUGUGAGGUUAAGCGACUAAGCGUACACGGUGGAUGCCCUGGCAGUCAGAGGCGAUGAAGGGCGUGCUAAUCUGCGAUAAGCGCCGGUAAGGUGAUAUGAACCGUUAUAACCGGCGAUACCCGAAUGGGGAAACCCAGUGUGACUCGUCACACUAUCAUUAACUGAAUCCAUAGGUUAAUGAGGCGAACCGGGGGAACUGAAACAUCUAAGUACCCCGAGGAAAAGAAAUCAACCGAGAUUCCCCCAGUAGCGGCGAGCGAACGGGGAGGAGCCCAGAGCCUGAAUCAGCAUGUGUGUUAGUGGAAGCGUCUGGAAAGGCGCGCGAUACAGGGUGACAGCCCCGUACACAAAAGCGCAUGUGCUGUGAGCUCGAUGAGUAGGGCGGGACACGUGGUAUCCUGUCUGAAUAUGGGGGGACCAUCCUCCAAGGCUAAAUACUCCUGACUGACCGAUAGUGAACCAGUACCGUGAGGGAAAGGCGAAAAGAACCCCGGCGAGGGGAGUGAAAAAGAACCUGAAACCGUGUACGUACAAGCAGUGGGAGCCCCACCACUAAGCCAGUGGUGAACUCCACAUACGCAUCCUUUGCUGAGGAUACGGUUAACGGAGCGAAAGUGACGUUCAACCUCAAAAGAAGCAGAGGGGGCUUAGUGGUGGGGUGACUGCGUACCUUUUGUAUAAUGGGUCAGCGACUUAUAUUCUGUAGCAAGGUUAACCGAAUAGGGGAGCCGAAGGGAAACCGAGUCUUAACCGGGCGUUAAGUUGCAGGGUAUAGACCCGAAACCCGGUGAUCUAGCCAUGGGCAGGUUGAAGGUUGGGUAACACUAACUGGAGGACCGAACCGACUAAUGUUGAAAAAUUAGCGGAUGACCUGUGGCUGGGGGUGAAAGGCCAAUCAAACCGGGAGAUAGCUGGUUCUCCCCGAAAGCUAUUUAGGUAGCGCCUCGUGAAUUCAUCUCCGGGGGUAGAGCACUGUUUCGGCUAGGGGGCCAUCCCGGCUUACCAACCCGAUGCAAACUGCGAAUACCGGAGAAUGUUAUCACGGGAGACACACGGCGGGUGCUAACGUCCGUCGUGAAGAGGGAAACAACCCAGACCGCCAGCUAAGGUCCCAAAGUCAUGGUUAAGUGGGAAACGAUGUGGGAAGGCCCAGACAGCCAGGAUGUUGGCUUAGAAGCAGCCAUCAUUUAAAGAAAGCGUAAUAGCUCACUGGUCGAGUCGGCCUGCGCGGAAGAUGUAACGGGGCUAAACCAUGCACCGAAGCUGCGGCAGCGAACGUAUCACUUAAAGCGAUUCAGCGGAUGACGAUUGACGGAGCGAAGCGACGUCAAAGCGUAUACAAAGUCGAGUCGGUUUAAGGAUACGUUCGUUGGGUAGGGGAGCGUUCUGUAAGCCUGCGAAGGUGGCCUGUGAGGGUUGCUGGAGGUAUCAGAAGUGCGAAUGCUGACAUAAGUAACGAUAAAGCGGGUGAAAAGCCCGCUCGCCGGAAGACCAAGGGUUCCUGUCCAACGUUAAUCGGGGCAGGGUGAGUCGACCCCUAAGGCGAGGCCGAAAGGCGUAGUCGAUGGGAAACGGGUUAAUAUUCCCGUACUUGGUGUUACUGCGAAGGGGGGACGGAGAAGGCUAUGUUGGCCGGGCGACGGUUGUCCCGGUUUAAGCGUGUAGGUGUGUGUUCCAGGUAAAUCCGGUUCACUUUAACACUGAGGCGUGAUGACGAGGCACUACGGUGCUGAAGCAACAAAUGCCCUGCUUCCAGGAAAAGCCUCUAAGCAUCAGGUAACAUCAAAUCGUACCCCAAACCGACACAGGUGGUCAGGUAGAGAAUACCAAGGCGCUUGAGAGAACUCGGGUGAAGGAACUAGGCAAAAUGGUGCCGUAACUUCGGGAGAAGGCACGCUGACACGUAGGUGAAGUGAUUUACUCAUGGAGCUGAAGUCAGUCGAAGAUACCAGCUGGCUGCAACUGUUUAUUAAAAACACAGCACUGUGCAAACACGAAAGUGGACGUAUACGGUGUGACGCCUGCCCGGUGCCGGAAGGUUAAUUGAUGGGGUCAGCGCAAGCGAAGCUCCUGAUCGAAGCCCCGGUAAACGGCGGCCGUAACUAUAACGGUCCUAAGGUAGCGAAAUUCCUUGUCGGGUAAGUUCCGACCUGCACGAAUGGCGUAAUGAUGGCCAGGCUGUCUCCACCCGAGACUCAGUGAAAUUGAACUCGCUGUGAAGAUGCAGUGUACCCGCGGCAAGACGGAAAGACCCCGUGAACCUUUACUAUAGCUUGACACUGAACAUUGAGCCUUGAUGUGUAGGAUAGGUGGGAGGCUUUGAAGUGUGGACGCCAGUCUGCAUGGAGCCGACCUUGAAAUACCACCCUUUAAUGUUUGAUGUUCUAACGUGGACCCGUGAUCCGGGUUGCGGACAGUGUCUGGUGGGUAGUUUGACUGGGGCGGUCUCCUCCUAAAGAGUAACGGAGGAGCACGAAGGUUGGCUAAUCCUGGUCGGACAUCAGGAGGUUAGUGCAAUGGCAUAAGCCAGCUUGACUGCGAGCGUGACGGCGCGAGCAGGUGCGAAAGCAGGUCAUAGUGAUCCGGUGGUUCUGAAUGGAAGGGCCAUCGCUCAACGGAUAAAAGGUACUCCGGGGAUAACAGGCUGAUACCGCCCAAGAGUUCAUAUCGACGGCGGUGUUUGGCACCUCGAUGUCGGCUCAUCACAUCCUGGGGCUGAAGUAGGUCCCAAGGGUAUGGCUGUUCGCCAUUUAAAGUGGUACGCGAGCUGGGUUUAGAACGUCGUGAGACAGUUCGGUCCCUAUCUGCCGUGGGCGCUGGAGAACUGAGGGGGGCUGCUCCUAGUACGAGAGGACCGGAGUGGACGCAUCACUGGUGUUCGGGUUGUCAUGCCAAUGGCACUGCCCGGUAGCUAAAUGCGGAAGAGAUAAGUGCUGAAAGCAUCUAAGCACGAAACUUGCCCCGAGAUGAGUUCUCCCUGAGACUUUAGGUCUCCUGAAGGAACGUUGAAGACGACGACGUUGAUAGGCCGGGUGUGUAAGCGCAGCGAUGCGUUGAGCUAACCGGUACUAAUGAACCGUGAGGCUUAACCUUACAACGCCGAAG
rnacentral:rRNA from 1 species